rnacentral:rRNA from 1 species
GAUGAACGCUGGCGGCGUGCCUAAUACAUGCAAGUCGAGCGAACGGACGAGAAGCUUGCUUCUCUGAUGUUAGCGGCGGACGGGUGAGUAACACGUGGAUAACCUACCUAUAAGACUGGGAUAACUUCGGGAAACCGGAGCUAAUACCGGAUAAUAUUUUGAACCGCAUGGUUCAAAAGUGAAAGACGGUCUUGCUGUCACUUAUAGAUGGAUCCGCGCUGCAUUAGCUAGUUGGUAGGGUAACGGCUUACCAAGGCAACGAUGCAUAGCCGACCUGAGAGGGUGAUAGGCCACACUGGAACUGAGACACGGUCCAGACUCCUACGGGAGGCAGCAGUAGGGAAUCUUCCGCAAUGGGCGAAAGCCUGACGGAGCAACGCCGCGUGAGUGAUGAAGGUCUUCGGAUCGUAAAACUCUGUUAUUAGGGAAGAACAUAUGUGUAAGUAACUGUGCACAUCUUGACGGUACCUAAUCAGAAAGCCACGGCUAACUACGUG